GUGUCGGUGGCACUUAUUAAGCUUAUAACAGACAAACCGGGGGGCAGGCAGCCUCCACUGUGAUUUUCUUCCAGAGCGCGCUCUCUCUCUCUCUCUCUCUCUGAGUCUCUCUAAAACCAUUUCUCCAUCUGCAAGAAAUUACGUGGGUAUAUGUAGCAAGUGAGAGAGGGAGAGAGAUCAUCAGAGUGUAUGUGUGAAAGAGAGAAGGGUGCAGGUCUGGCAGGGCAAAGGAGCAUAGCGAUUAGAGUGAGUAGUGGUGGUGGGGGGUAUAACAAGAAAAAAAUCAAAGGCAGAAAGAAAGUAAAAGUUAUCAAAGAAAGGUUGAUGGAUUUUUGGCACAAGAUGAUCUUCCCUGUCCGCCGCGUCUGGCUUACUGUCUCUGCUCGCAUCAAAGCUCGCAAAAAUGGUGCUGGCCUUUUGAAGCUUCAUGACGAUGUACAAACUUGUGGAUAUCAAGAUGUGCAGGUGAUGUGGCAGAUGCUGAGCAGAGACACUGAGCUGACAAGUCACCAUUCCAAACGCAAACAAAGACCCUUCUGGAGAGUUUUUGAAUUUUCUAGCAACAAUAGUAAACCCUCACCACUCUCUUCAAAUCAUGCAUGAAAUUAAACAGUCAGAUACUAUAAAAAUAGUGACAAUUAAUAAUGUGUUGCUGCUGUCCCCGAAAAAAAAAGAAAAAAAAAAGACAUUUGGCAUCAUAUUUUUACUGUCAAAUUGCUACAAGACUUACAGUGGCGUAUGGUACACAAGCUGUUGCAGGUGUCAAAACUACACAGUGAUAAAAGGUGAAAUUGUGUACCUAUUUUUACCUUUAUUGUGUGUAAAUUAGCACUAUCAGAGAUUACCCAAGUGAUCAUUUGUAAAUAUAAAUAAUGUUUUUCCAUGAAAAUCAGAAAAAGAAAAGCCAGAUAAUUCGAAAGAGCCUCCAUAUAUAUAGAGAGCUCAUUUUUACCCAUUAUCAUUUGUAAAUAUAAAUAAUAUAAGUUGGUGGUUCUGAAUUUCUUAA